rnacentral:rRNA from 1 species
UAGAGGAAGUAAAAGUCGUAACAAGGUUUCCGUACGUAGUGACCUGCGGAGGACAUUA